GCAGACGAGGAGGUGGUGAGCCCAGGCAGCUGACACACCUUACCUGGAAUCUAAAGGCCUUCCCUGGGAUCCUUGCUGCCCCAGACACUCUGUUAUCCAGGACAGUGAUGGGAAACUCAUUUUGACCAGCAGGGGGUGGCAUGGACUCAGAGAUAACACCCAGCAUCCAGCAUUGUGGCCAGCAGAACUCACUGCCCGGUGAAGUACCAAGCCUUCACCCAUCCCAGGCUCCAAGAGGGCCUGAGGAGAAAAGAGAGAGGUGUACAUAUGUGAAAGGCAUCCACCUCCCUGCAAGCCAGAUGCUGGUCCACAGUCAGGCAAUGCCGUGCCUCCUGACACAAAAAGACUCUGUGCCUUGUAAGAGAACUGUGUGUUGGCGCUGUUCUGCCCGGCUGGCCCUGUUUAACCAGCAGGCAGAAGCUACCCAGGAUGGGAUGGAUGAGGGGUGAUAAGCUUGGAUGUUGUCUGUGGGGUGUGCCCCGCUUUACUGACUAUAAAAGACAACCUGACAAUA
rnacentral:lncRNA from 1 species